CCUACGGGAGACAGCAGUGGGGAAUAUUGGGCAAUGGGCGCAAGCCUGACCCAGCAACGCCGCGUGAAGGAAGAAGGCUUUCGGGUUGUAAACUUCUUUUAUCAGGGACGAAGCAAGUGACGGUACCUGCUGAAUAAGCCACGGCUAACUACGUGCCAGCGGCCGCGGCAAUACGUAGGUGGCAAGCGUUAUCCGGAUUUAGUGGGUGUAAAGGGCGUGUAGGCGGGAGUGCAAGUCAGAGGUGAAAACUAGGGGCUCAACCCAGAGCCUGCAGUUGAAACUGUACUUCUUGAGUGCUGGAGAGGCAAUCGGAAUUCCGGGUGUAGCGGUGAAAUGCGUAGAUAUACGGAGGAACACCAGUGGCGAAGGCGGAUUGCUGGACAGUAACUGACGCUGAGGCGCGAAAGCGUGGGGAGCGAACAGGAUUAGAUACCCGAGUAGUC
rnacentral:rRNA from 1 species